GUUGUAAACUACCACUUAUCAUUCUUUGAAAUUUGAGAUCAACUGUGGCACUGACAACAAGUGUGUAGAUAACCUGAAAGUGGAUUUCAACUUCAACAGCUCCUCAGAGUUGAAGGUGGGCAUUGAUGAACUGUUGGACGUCACAGUAUCAGUGGAGAACCGAGACGAAGACUCCUACAACAGCUACGUGAAACUUACGUACCCAGCUGGGCUCUCCUACAGGAAGUUCACAGGUUUGCAGGGAAGAAUCGAGUGCAACUCCUUGGACAGUGAAGAUGGCUUAUCGCGAGGAAUGACAACCUGCACUAUUAACAACCCCAUUUUCAAGAGCGACACUGAGGCUUUGUUCACCGUCUCCUAUGGGAUCGAAAGCAACAGACGAUUUGACAGGAAGAUUUUUAUCUCUGCAAAUGCUUCCAGGUACUGUGCCUGUCUAUAAUGUUUAAUAUUCAUAUUACAUCACUA